rnacentral:lncRNA from 1 species
UUCAUUUAAUGCAUUUGUACUUUUGCCAUUUUAUUUCCAUUAUUCAUCUCCUUCUUCUUCUUCUUUUUUUUCUUUUUGAUCAAUAAGUUGAAGGUUGAUAAGUUAGCAUUGAUUAGGGAGACUUAAUCUUCCUUGAUUCAAAUCUAAUUCAUCUUGAUCAAUUGAUCAAGUGAAUGGCUUUGCAUUAAGGACAGGUUGUUUUCUAAAUCAUGCAAAAAGCUUAAAC